rnacentral:lncRNA from 1 species
CUCGUUCUCGGGAUCUACCGGCCGAGAAAAGGGUGAAGAAAAGGUCGACGGAGGGAGUAACCCCCAGUUCGUGGCAGAAGGCAGCGAACGCCAGUAUGUGGAUGUAAGAGUUGGGCACCAACUGAGCAAAGCCCACUCCUAUGAAUCCUAGGAGGGUGACGACAAAGACGUGAAGGGGUAGGCGAAUCCCCUUUUCCAGAAGAGUAGCAGGCAUGGCGAC